CAUUUCUCUUGGCUCAAACUUCAUCGUAGAGAGUUCUGUUUGUUUUGAAAUCGUCUCACAUUAUUGGCGUGAAUUGAGAGGCCCGUUCGUCCGUCCGCCAAACCAAAUAAAAACAAUAACAAAAACAGUCGGACGGAGAUGGAAAUAAUGGAAACUCGCGGUGCGACGCGUCGCUCACACUCUCCUCCGCUCACGCACACAGUGACACAGACAAAAGACAACCGGCUUUUACUUUUGCGCGCUCUGCACAUUCUGCAGCAGGAUUUUGAGAUUUCGAGAUGCUGAAAAAGAAAACAGAGCAGCGCUUAAAGAAAGAGCGCUUAGCUGUUCUUCUUCUGUGUCCUCUCCCGCUCCCGCUCCAAACAUUUAAUUAGUUAGCAUUGCUCAGAAAACAACCCCUCUCCCUUUACCUUCUCCCUAACCAACACCAACCCUUCAUUCAAUGCCAAUCUCUUCAAAUGACACAUCCCCACACUCCCAUUUGCGCUCUUUGAACUCUGCCACCAACCAAAGUCUCGCUCAUCGAUUUUUCAGAGUUGCAUUCCAUUUGCCUUGGGAGCAAGGGAGAGGGAGCAAGAGCAACAAAGAGCGACCGCCAUGUGUUUUUGCGUGCGUGUGUGAGUGUAACGAGAUCAGUACAUCUUGUACAUUUCGGACUCUUGCAGAGUUCACAGCCGCAUUUGGUCCCGUUCUUUUUGUUUUUUUUUUUUCUUUUGACAUUUCCCCAACGACGGCUCUGAGCGGCGUUUUUAAAAAUUACGCUCUGUUUACUUUUUUCACGGCCCAGGAAAGGAGAGGAGAGAUGAGGAGCGCUGAGAAUAAGGGGGAGCGAAGCGCAGAGUAGCCGCUGCCGGCGUCGCAUCAGGUGUUUUCAUUUCGCUGGCCGCGCUCUGUUUUGGUCAGUAUUUCCAUUACGAUAGGGCCACGCAUUGAAGACGGUCCAACUUUCAUACUUAAGCGCACACUUUGAAUAAACGAUAGAGUGGCGGAAAAGCGCCAAAGUUAAAGUGGAAAUGCAAAUGAGUGGUUAAAAAUUUCUAGGAAUACGGGUCUGAUUCGAUACGAGGGAGACGGUGCUAUUUAAAGCACCAGACAGGCUUGCUUAUCUUUGGUACAAUCUGGACUUGGUCACUAUAUUAUAAAUUUAAAUAAAGAUUUGAAGUAGAUAAGUCUAUCAAA